AUCCUGGUCUUUUGAGAUGUUCAUCUCAGGAGAAGAGAACACAAUGAAAAUCACUGUCCUUUUACUUGCUGACCCAUUGCCUACCCCUUGGAAAAAUCUGUGAAGUAAUUACUUCCCCAGGUCAUCAGAUGACUUCUUUAUAACAUACAGAUGAGAGGAACAACACUCUGUUACAUUGUAAGCAUGCUGUUUGGAUCUCAUCCCACACAAGGCUGGAUGGAGACCCAAGGCUGAGGGUCAUGAUGAAAAGCUGGUAUACAGGGAAGGAUGUGACUCUGCAUAAGGAAUGUCAUUUCUAGGUUCUGCAGCUCAAUUCAUGAAACAUGAAUCAGAAUCUUAGAUGCGAUCAAGAGUGUAACUUUUGACCUGUCCUUGCUUUGGAUGUCUUGACAGCUUAUUUGGGUGCCUUACAUCUUUUCUAAUUCGAAUUCCCUAGAAGCCUGCCCUCAAUCCCUCUGUGGAGCCCCUUAGCACCUGAGGGCCUAUACACGUGGCAGGUAGAGAAAGGGCCCUGGCUGGUUCUGUGCAGUGAUUUUCAGGGUUCCAUCUGGGAUUCAUUUUUGAAACUUUCUUUAGGGUUGUUUAAUUAAGUGUUCAUAUUGGAUGGAGGGUGGGAGUAUAAUUUGAAUGUAUUAUUUUCUAAUUCUUUUUUUAUAGAUUAAAAGGUGGUUGUUGAAAUUAAAAUGGAAAAUUUUCACUUUGAUUUGCUAGCUUUUUGAGUGAAUUCUCUGUUAACAGAGCUCAAAUGGGUUAGUGUGCACAAUGAAGAAAGCAUAUGGCAAUGUUUUACUGGUGGUUCAAGACCAGGUCCUCUUCUACUCCUGUGCCACUGACUUGCUCUUUGACCCUUUCCUUUGAUCAGAGCCCACACUUGUAACAGUGAACACACCUCCUCUGCUAUGAGGACCUAAUCAUUGAAGAGGGUGGAACCCUCCUGACCUAAUGACUUCUCAUGGUCCCACCUUUCAACACUGUUGUCAUGGUUAUACAGUUUCUAACAUACAAACUCUGGGAGACACACUCAAACCAUAGUAUUGGUCAAGUGACUUAACUAUUUUGUGCCUCAAUUUUCCUUUUGUUAAAAUGGGGAUAAUAAUAUUGACCUACCUCAAAAGGCAGUCUUGAGGCACGAGUAGUGCUUUUUAUCAAGCAUUUGGGGAUCCUUUGGCAGAGGAAUUCUGGCCCUGAAUAUUUCUUCAGUAGCUGUGUCCUCCCUGAACUUACUACUACAUGUGUUCCAGAGGCUUGCUUAGUUUCCCUAGCUCUGGACGGUGAAUGAAUCACUUGGCUAAGCAGUGAAUAAUUAGUCAAAGGAAACAUGAGAACACAUCCUCAUUGCCAUGUAAGUAGGUACAGAACACCUUUUCAUAGCUUAGCAGGGAUUCCCCUUUUCCCCCCUUUAUGUGGGACAGGAAUUCUUUGUGACCUAAGAGUAAUUCUAGAAUAAUUUCUAUUAAUAUCAAUCUGAAGCUAGUUGUACUGAUACGACAUUGUGUUUGUUCAUAAUAAAAGUGAAGUGAAACUGAC